rnacentral:lncRNA from 1 species
GGUUUGCACUGCUUCCUGGAAACUACCUCCCUGCUAAUAAGCCUUCCCAGUAAUAAGCCUCCCUGACAAUGCGCCUCCUGACACAUGCUUCCUCAAGUCUGUGCCUCCAAACCCCAUGCCUUGACCAGAGUAGGUGUGCUCAACCUGGUUUAAGGAUUCUCCACUGCCCCUGGUUUGGGAGGAGCUGCUCACGUAAAUAAAGAGGGGAUUUUGCCACCACAAGCAUAAAUACUCACUCUCAGAACAACGAGGCACCACCAGGGAACAAAAGAUGGAGUUUCACUCUUGUUGCCCAGGCUGGAGUGCAAUGGUGUGAUCUUGGCUCACUGCAACCUCCACUUCCCAGGUUCAAGCAAUUCUCCUGCCUCAGCUUCCUGAGCAGCUGGGACUACAGGUGCCACCAGGCCCAUCUAAUUUUUGUAUUUUUAGUAGAGACGGGGUUUCACCAUGUUGGCCAGGCUGGUCUUAAACUCCUGACUUCAGAUGAUCCACCAGCCUCGGCCUCCCAAAUUGCUGGGACUACAGGCAUGAGCCACUGAGCCUGGCCAAAAUUGUUUUUCUUAAAAACGUUAUUUGUUAAACUGUACUUAUGUCUUUAAUGUAGUUUUCUGUGAAUAUAUUUUAUAUAAAAAUAAAGAAAACAAUAUGGCAGCAAUGAAUCAUUUAUUUAAAAGUCUCUGACAGAAUGAAUGAGUAAAUGUGGAAUAUACUAUAAAAAGUGAAAGUGUAAAAAUGUUAUAAUUACCAUCAUAAGUAAUAAUGAGUCACCUAAAAACCCACCCACAGCAAUCUGUUACGAGUGAAAGAAUUACUUUAACACAGCAGGAGGAUUUUAAGGUAGUUACAAAUGACGGGUUAGCAAUGUAGGGAGAGACAGUGGCUGAAAUGGUCAGUCUGCCUCUACUGUUUCUGUGUUCUCUGCUUCCCAACCACACCAGCCAGGCUCAUUCCACAGUAACAACCUCAUCUCAUUGAGAAAAUGAAUGUGACAGGACAGGGGCUUUCCACCACCAUGUCUUCCAGUGGACUCUCAUGUAUACCAGAAGUCCAAGCUUUCCCUCUGGUAACAACUAAACAUCAUCCACCAUCUUAUCAAAGCCCACCCCCUUCACCUGGGCUGUGGCUCCCAAACUCCUCUCCUGGCCUUCUUCCCUGAACCCUUAUCUCCUGCCUGAACAAUUUCCCCCACUGGAUUAUUUCCAGCAGCACAAAGUCAUAUUUUA